GACGAACCGUCCAAACGUUAUUCGGAAUCACUGGGCUUACAGAGUUCGUAGGCGGUCUGGAAAGUUGGAUGUGAAAUCCCACGGCUCAACCGUGGAACUGCGUUCGAUACUACCAGACUCGAGGGGGAUAGAGGAAAGCGGAACUGAUGGUGGAGCGGUGAAAUGCGUUGAUAUCAUCAGGAACACCGGUGGCGAAGGCGGCUUUCUGGGUCUCUCCUGACGCUGAGGAACGAAAGCUAGGGUAGCGAACGGG
rnacentral:rRNA from 1 species